GAGCAAGUUAGCGAUUUAUCGUCUGUUUUCCAUCGCCACCUUCAAAUUUGGUCAAAUCUAUGUCAAAUCAAACAAUCAAAAUUAAAAAAAUACACAAACGUCAUACAUAGUGUGCUACAAUCAUCUCUUUGUUAAAUCAUCACCAAAUUAAUCACUAAACAUGUCUGGCCGUGAAGGAGGUAAAAAGAAGCCGCUAAAGGCACCGAAGAAAGCGUCCAGAGAACUAGACGAUGAUGACCUAGCACUAAAACAAAAACUAAAGGAACAACAGAAAGCAUUAGAAGAAGCAAAGGCCAAAGCUUCACAGAAAGGUCCUCUUGUUAGUGGUGGCAUUAAAAAGUCUGGCAAAAAUCAGACAAGACGCUUAUGAUUCUGCAAGAAAAAUAAAGAUGAUGUAUCCACAAGAAAAUAAACGGCGUCGUCGACAAUAUUGAAACUUUGAAUUGAUUGAAACUCGAAUUUAAACUUU
rnacentral:misc_RNA from 1 species